AGGCUCUUUGGCUGCUGGAGGAAGAUCAGGCUAGUUGUGAUAAUAACUUCAAAUAUGCUUGACAAUUUGGGAAAAUUAAAGUAGAACACCUUCUAUUUAAUUGGGACUAGGAGAAGAUGGAUAUUGCAUGGAUUUAGAAUUGUGGCCUGGGACAUUCCAAUCAAGAUUCUCACCUGUGUUGAUGGGACCCACAUGCCCUGUCAGUUCCUGACACUUUUCACGUUCCUGGGCAGCACAUGUGUUGGAACACAGCACAUGAAGGAGCUCCAUUGCCUUGCGAUGCCUAUCCUCAUCAUAAUCUCCUGACAUGAUGCCUAAACAGCAAGUAGACAUUGAACAAUGGUGCAGACUGAAAACAAUAAAACAGCAACCACAAAUGACCCAUGGAUAAAAAGGCUAUCCUGAGAGCUGAUGCAGAAGGACAGCUCAUUGAUUCUUGAACUAAAGAAAGAAAUGAUGCAGCUUUCAGCUGGAGCUCUUCCAUGGCUCUUUGAAAAGAAAGAUCCGUCCCAGAUCUGGAUGACACUACGGUCAUUUGAAGAAGAAAGUAAAUGGGCCAGCGAAAUUCACAUGAAAGGAAUUGAAUUCUCUGGUGGGGUCGGAUUAAUAGACUAUUUGAUAAAAGCCCUGCUGAUUAGACUAAAGGCCUUUGGAAGCCAACAUCCUGAUCCCCAAAAGGCUUAAUCAGUGAUCUCAAGGGAACUAAGAAGGCCAUGAGAAGUUGUACAGUAAUUACUGCUCAGUAAAUGCUCUUUCUACUCUUGGAGAGAA